UCCCUGGUGGCUCAGAGGUUAAAGCGUCUGCCUGCAAUGCGGGAGACCUGGGUUCGAUCCCUGGGUCGGGAA
rfam:TPA: Bos taurus chromosome 5, whole genome shotgun sequence.